CCACGGGGGGGUCUCUUCCUAUAUAAAGGUAUAUACAUAUGUGCCGCUGGAAUGGGUCCCUUUUUGAUCCGUCAAAUAUAUCAUGUGCAAUUUUACCGAGGAAAUAUAUCAAUAGGUAGUAAUUGACCGAUUGUGAAAAUUUUGAGCUGAUAAAUAUAUGAAUGGGUUAUGAUUUCGCUGUGAAAUAUAUGUAUAGGUAGGGAUUUCACAAUUAUUCAAUAUAUGAAUGGGGGGUGUUUUUAAAAUCCCAGCUGCACACCUGUACCCAAAAUCCCAUGUUGAGACCCCCCCCGUGGAUU
rnacentral:lncRNA from 1 species